rnacentral:lncRNA from 1 species
GAUGAGUUGAGUAAAAUCGUUAAAAGCAUAUCCAAGAUCGGAUGAAGACGAUGUAUGAAGACGAUGUAUGGUCUAGGUGAAGUAAAACAUGGACUAUAUAUUCUUACCUUAGCUUACAAAUACAUGUGGGUACAUGGAUAUCGCGAUUUUUCCACUGACCGGGGGACACACUCAGCUGUGUUGGGGAAGGUUUUCAAAUGGGAUUUUAGAUUGACCAUAUC